AAGUCGUAACAAGGUAACCGUAGGUGAACCUGCGGUUGGAUCAUUAGAAAAUUUAGACGUUCGGUUUGAAGUGCGGUUGAAAAACCAAACCUCGCCGACUGCCAUCGCUUUAGCAUUUUUAAACACAUUGUUUGCUAGCCCGGGUUUCCAUUUUUUUUGGAUCAACUUGGGGGUCAUCAUAUCGCUCUGUGAUGAAAUGCUUCUGCCAUGGUAGCGUCAAAACUCCUAUGUGCAACGUUUUGGGGUUUGGUUGGAAAGCACUGAGUUUUUUUUACCUCAUGGCCGAAAAUCAUCUCCCAUUCCACUACUUUAUAAUUUGUCUAACUUUAUUUAAUAUAUAUAAUAUUAAAACAACUUUUGGCAACGGAUCUCUUGGCUCUC
rnacentral:misc_RNA from 1 species